GACGAACGCUGGCGGCGUGCUUAACACAUGCAAGUCGAGCGGUAAGGCCCUUUCGGGGGUACACGAGCGGCGAACGGGUGAGUAACACGUGGGUGACCUGCCCUCAGCUCUGGGAUAAGCCUGGGAAACCGGGUCUAAUACUGGAUAUGACUCCAUGACGCAUGUUGUGGGGUGGAAAGCCUUGUGCGGCUGAGGAUGGGCCCGCGGCCUAUCAGCUUGUUGGUGGGGUGAUGGCCUACCAAGGCGACGACGGGUAGCCGGCCUGAGAGGGCGACCGGCCACACUGGGACUGAGACACGGCCCAGACUCCUACGGGAGGCAGCAGU
rnacentral:rRNA from 1 species